GACGAACGCUGGCGGCGUGCUUAACACAUGCAAGUCGAGCGGUAAGGCCCUUUCGGGGGUACACGAGCGGCGAACGGGUGAGUAACACGUGGGUGACCUGCCCUCAGCUCUGGGAUAAGCCUGGGAAACCGGGUCUAAUACUGGAUAUGACUCCAUGACGCAUGUUGUGGGGUGGAAAGCCUUGUGCGGCUGAGGAUGGGCCCGCGGCCUAUCAGCUUGUUGGUGGGGUGAUGGCCUACCAAGGCGACGACGGGUAGCCGGCCUGAGAGGGCGACCGGCCACACUGGGACUGAGACACGGCCCAGACUCCUACGGGAGGCAGCAGUGGGGAAUCUUGCGCAAUGGGCGAAAAGCCUGACGCAGCGACGCCGCGUGAGGGAUGACGGCCC
rnacentral:rRNA from 1 species